AACCGGAACUGCUAAGCCUUCGGCAGCUGCUGCUCUGGCAGAGGAAGAAAUUUCAGUUCGCUGAUCACGGUGCUGGGCCGCGUUACAUUUUCCUCAACGAAAAGGGCCACUGAGGGAGGGGUGCCACCUCUCUAGUCCCGUUGGGGAAAGCGUUUUGUUUCUUCAAUCCAAUGUUGUGUGCCGGGCCGAGGACUUUUUUUACCAUCAACUACUCUGUAACUGUCGAGCAACUCAACUUGCACACACACAAAUUUCCCAUACACGUGUUUGCGAUAUGCACAUACCUUGCCAUAGUUCACUGUUUCACUCCAAAUCUGUUCAUCUUUCGUACACUUUUUCACAUUACACAUUUUACAACGUCACACAUUUGCAUCGUUCAAAUCAGCCUCAGCCCACUAAAACCAGCUUCUACUAACAGCCUUACGUGUCCCCGGACACCAGUUUUCCACACAAUCGUUGCCAUUGUGUUUUGUGUCGUAAGAUUUCUUUACGUGGUGUUUUUUUAUAACAAAAUAUAUUAAGUUGAGCUAACGUUUAUGUUUUUAGAAGCGCGUUUUUCAUCGUAUUUUGUUGUGUGAUGUUUUGAUUGCUUUAUCAUCUUGGUUUUGUUGUGUGUAGCUGUGUGUUGCUUACGUUUUGUUAGUUUUAGUUAUAUCUAGUUGUUUUAAGUUUGGUUUAGUUUUAAAGCUUUUGUACAGCACUUUUACGUUAAGAUUAUGCUUCGUUAGGCUUACUUUACUUUACUUAGAAAUUAUGUGCUUUUUUCACGAUUUUUUUUUAAACUUUUCCGUCACGUCAAUUUUAAUUUUCCUUGUGAUUUUUUUUCUUCGAUUUAAUGAAAUACUUUUUUGUUGCUGCUGUGAGCUUUCUUCUUACCUUCUUACGUUCGCUUCGGCUCGUACACAAAAUUGGAACACAAAAAGAGAAACAAAUAUGUUGUUACGCCGAGCGGAUGCGCUCGACCGCGAAACCCGAACAUGAAAUUUCAUCCAUUCUUGCCAUCGUGUGUUACGGCUAAGUAACAUCACACCCUCUAGCGGCAAACUUUCGCACCACAGCACAGGUUUCGUUCGCAUUCGAUAGUGAACGUAAGAGAUGUAAAGCAAAGGGACGAGUGGACAAACAAAACAACGAGCAAAUCACAUACUUGCACUUAUCUGUUUCGUUUGGUCCUUCAAUUGGGAAAGCACAUAAUUUUUCAAAAAAAAAA